CGUAGGGUGCGAGCGUUAAUCGGAAUUACUGGGCGCAAAGCGUGCGCAGGCGGUUUUGUAAGACAGAUGUGAAAUCCCCGGGCUCAACCUGGGACCUGCAUUUGUGACUGCAAGGCUAGAGUACGGUAGAGGGGGAUGGAAUUCCGCGUGUAGCAGUGAAAUGCGUAGAUAUGCGGAGGAACACCGAUGGCGAAGGCAAUCCCCUGGACCUGUACUGACGCUCAUGCACGAAAGCGUGGGGAGCAAACAGGAUUAGAUACCCUGGUAGUCCACGCCCUAAACGAUGUCAACUGGUUGUUGGGUCUUUACUGACUCAGUAACGAAGCUAACGCGUGAAGUUGACCGCCUGGGGAGUACGGCCGCAAGGUUG
rnacentral:rRNA from 1 species